CUUGAUGAACGCUAGCUACAGGCUUAACACAUGCAAGUCGAGGGGCAGCAUUUCAGUUUGCUUGCAAACUGGAGAUGGCGACCGGCGCACGGGUGAGUAACACGUAUCCAACCUGCCGAUAACUCGGGGAUAGCCUUUCGAAAGAAAGAUUAAUACCCGAUGGCAUAAUUAGACCGCAUGGUCUUAUUAUUAAAGAAUUUCGGUUAUCGAUGGGGAUGCGUUCCAUUAGGCAGUUGGUGAGGUAACGGCUCACCAAACCUUCGAUGGAUAGGGGUUCUGAGAGGAAGGUCCCCCACAUUGGAACUGAGACACGGUCCAAACUCCUACGGGAGGCAGCAGUGAGGAAUAUUGGUCAAUGGACGAGAGUCUGAACCAGCCAAGUAGCGUGAAGGAUGACUGCCCUAUGGGUUGUAAACUUCUUUUAUAUGGGAAUAAAGUUUUCCACGUGUGGAAUUUUGUAUGUACCAUAUGAAUAAGGAUCGGCUAACUCCGUGCCAGCAGCCGCGGUAAUACGGAGGAUCCGAGCGUUAUCCGGAUUUAUUGGGUUUAAAGGGAGCGUACGUGGACAGUUAAGUCAGUUGUGAAAGUUUGCGGCUCAACCGUAAAAUUGCAGUUGAUCCUGGCUGUCUUGAGUACCGUACAGGUGGCCGGAAUUCCUGGUGCAGCGGUGAAAUGCUAUAAUAUCACGAAGAACUUCGGAUUGCGAAGGCAGCUCACUGGACUGCAACUGACACUGAUGCUUGAAAGUGUGGGUAUCAAACAGGGAUUAGGAUACCCUGGUGGUUCACACAGUAAACGAUGAAUACUCGCUGUUUGCGAUAUACAGUAAGCGGCCAAGCGAAAGCAUUAAGUAUUCCACCUGGGGAGUACGCCGGCAACGGUGAAACUCAAAGGAAUUGACGGGGGCCCGCACAAGCGGAGGAACAUGUGGUUUAAUUCGAUGAUACGCGAGGAACCUUACCCGGGCUUAAAUUGCAUUUGAAUAAUCUGGAAACAGGUUAGCCGCAAGGCAAAUGUGAAGGUGCUGCAUGGUUGUCGUCAGCUCGUGCCGUGAGGUGUCGGCUUAAGUGCCAUAACGAGCGCAACCCUUAUCUUUAGUUACUAACAGGUCAUGCUGAGGACUCUAGAGAGACUGCCGUCGUAAGAUGUGAGGAAGGUGGGGAUGACGUCAAAUCAGCACGGCCCUUACGUCCGGGGCUACACACGUGUUACAAUGGGGGGUACAGAAGGCAGCUACCUGGUGACAGGAUGCUAAUCCCAAAAGCCUCUCUCAGUUCGGAUCGAAGUCUGCAACCCGACUUCGUGAAGCUGGAUUCGCUAGUAAUCGCGCAUCAGCCAUGGCGCGGUGAAUACGUUCCCGGGCCUUGUACACACCGCCCGUCAAGCCAUGAAAGCCGGGGGUACCUGAAGUACGUAACCGCAAGGAGCGUCCUAGGGUAAAACUGGUAAUUGGGGCUAAGUCAUAACAAG
rnacentral:rRNA from 1 species